AACGAACGCUGGCGGCAGGCUUAACACAUGCAAGUCGAGCGCCCCGCCAGGGGCGCGGCAGACGGGUGAGUACCGCGUGGGAACGUACCUUUUGGUUCGGAACAACUCCGGGAAACUGGAGCUAAUACCGGAUAAGCCCUAACGGGGAAAGAUUUAUCGCCGAAGGAUCGGCCAGCGUCUGAUUAGCUAGUUGGUGAGGUAACGGCCCCCCAAGGCGACGAUCAGUAGCUGGUAUGAGGGGAUGACCAGCCACACGGGCACUGAGAAACGGCCCAGACUCCGACGGGAGGAAGCAGUGGGGAAUAUUAGAGGAGGGGGGAAAGCGGGAUCCAGCAAUACCGGGUGAGGGAUGAAGGAGCCCUGCUUGGAAAGUGAUUAUGUUGGGAAAGAAGUAAAGCACGUUUGUACCCGGCGGUACUGACGGUACCGAAAGAAUAAGCACCGGCUAACUUCGUG
rnacentral:rRNA from 1 species